AUUGAACGCUGGCGGCAGGCCUAACACAUGCAAGUCGAGCGAGCGGCGGACGGGUGAGUAAUGUAUGGGGACUGCCCGAUAGAGGGGGAUAACUACUGGAAACGGUGGCUAAUACCGCAUACUAUCGGAUAAGCCUGAGGGGAUUAGCUAGUAGGUGGGGUAAAGGCUCACCUAGGGCACGAUCGCUAGCUGGUCUGAGAGGAUGAUCAGCCACCCUGGGACGUAGACACGGCCCAGACUCCUACGGAGGCAGCAGUGGGGAAUAUUGCACAAUGGGCGCAAGCCUGAUACAGCCAUGACGCGUGUAUGAAGAAGGCCUUAGGGUUGUAAAGUACUUUCAGUGGGGAGGCGUUACCCGCAGAAGAAGCACCGGCUAACUCCGUGCCAGCAGCCGCGGUAAUAC
rnacentral:rRNA from 1 species